UUGAGCCGUGUGCGAGGAAACCCGCACGCACGGUCUUAGAGGGCGGGGGGGCCGGUAACGGUCUCCUUGCUACUCGGC
rnacentral:ncRNA from 1 species